GUAGGCGGCAAGCGUUGUCCGGAAUUAUUGGGCGUAAAGCGCGCGCAGGCGGUUCUUUAAGUCUGAUGUGAAAGCCCACGGCUCAACCGUGGAGGGUCAUUGGAAACUGGAGAACUUGAGUACAGAAGAGGAAAGCGGAAUUCCACGUGUAGCGGUGAAAUGCGUAGAGAUGUGGAGGAACACCAGUGGCGAAGGCGGCUUUCUGGUCUGUAACUGACGCUGAGGCGCGAAAGCGUGGGGAGCAAACAGGAUUAGAUACCCUGGUAGUCCACGCCGUAAACGAUGAGUGCUAAGUGUUAGGGGGGUUUCCGCCCCCCUUAGUGCUGCAGCUAACGCACUAAGCACUCCGCCUGGGAGCACGGCCGCAAGGCUG
rnacentral:rRNA from 1 species